AUGUCCCAAGCAACACAGCAAAACAUCAUGAAGAGGCAAUUGAUCAUUCUGCUGGGACUUCUGUAUGCUCAGAUUUGCUGUGUGAGAGGGGCGCAGGUGGAGCAGAGCCCUCCAGUCCUGAGCCUCCUGGAGGGAGAGAGCUACACCCUGAGGUGCAAUUUUUCUACUAGUAUGUACAACGUGCAGUGGUUUCAUCAAAAUCCUGAAGGACGCCUCAUCAGCCUGUUUUACAUUUCUUCAGGGACACAGCAGAAGGGAAGAUUAAAUGCCACGACAGUUACUACAGAACGUCUCAGUUUAUUACACAUUUCCUCUUCCCAGACCACAGAUUCAGGCAUUUAUCUCUGUGCUGUGGAGCCACAGUGCUUCCCCAGCACCUGCAGCCUGCACACAAACUCUCAAGCCUGUGUACACAGACACGGGUCCAUGCUACAAAUUUCCCACAGCAACAUUGCAAGCUUAA